UGCAGUCGGACGGGAUUGAGGAGCUUGCUUCUCAUGAGAGUGGCGCACGGGUGCGUAACACGUAUGUAACCUACCUUGUUCAGGGGGAUAGCCUCUCGAAAGAGAGAUUAACACCGCAUAAAAUCAAUUUAUGGCAUCAUAGAAUGAUCAAAUAUUUAUAGGAACAAGAUGGGCAUGCGGAACAUUAGCUAGUUGGUAAGGUAACGGCUUACCAAGGCUACGAUGUUUAGGGGAUCUGAGAGGAUGACCCCCCACACUGGUACUGAGACACGGACCAGACUCCUACGGGAGGCAGCAGUAAGGAAUAUUGGUCAAUGGACGCAAGUCUGGACCAGCCAUGCCGCGUGCAGGAAGACGGCCCUACGGGUUGUAAACCGCUUUUGUACCGGAAUAAACCUUUUCACGUGUGAGAAGCUGAAUGUACGGUAAGAAUAAGGAUCGGCUAACUCCGUGCCAGCAGCCGCGGUAAUACGGAGGAUCCAAGCGUUAUCCGGAUUUAUUGGGUUUAAAGGGUGCGUAGGUGGCCUAUUAAGUCAGGGGUGAAAGACGGUAGCUUAACUAUCGCAGUGCCUUUGAUACUGAUGGGCUUGAAUACACUUGAGGUAGGCGGAAUGUGACAAGUAGCGGUGAAAUGCAUAGAUAUGUCACAGAACACCAAUUGCGAAGGCAGCUUACUAAAGUGUUAUUGACACUGAGGCACGAAAGCGUGGGGAUCAAACAGGAUUAGAUACCCUGGUAGUCCACGCCCUAAACGAUGAAUACUCGAUGUUGGCGAUAUACGGUCAGCGUCUAAGCGAAAGCGUUAAGUAUUCCACCUGGGGAGUACGCCCGCAAGGGUGAAACUCAAAGGAAUUGACGGGGGCCCGCACAAGCGGAGGA
rnacentral:rRNA from 1 species